CCUACGGGAGGCAACAGUGGGGAAUAUUGCACAAUGGGGGAAACCCUGAUGCAGCGACGCCGCGUGAGUGAAGAAGUAUUUCGGGAUGUAAAGCUCUGUCAGCAGGGAAGAAAAUGACGGUACCUGACCAAGAAGCCCCGGCUAACUACAUGCCAGCAGCCGCGGGAAUACGUAGGGGGCCAGCGUUAUCCGGAUUUACUGGGUGUAAAGGGAGCGUAGGCGGCAGGGCAAGUCUGGAGUGAAAGGGGGGGGCUCAACCCCCGGACUGCUCUGGAAACUGCCAGGCUGGAGUGCAGGAGAGGUAAGUGGAAUGCCUAGUGUAGCGGUGAAAUGCUUAGAUAUUAGGAAGAACACCAGUGGCGAAGGCGGCUUACUGGACUGUAACUGACGUUGAGGCUCGAAAGCGUGGGGAGCAAACAGGAUUAGAUACCCGUGUAGUC
rnacentral:rRNA from 1 species